CGCGGCCUAUCAGCUUGUUGGUGAGGUAACGGCUCACCAAGGCAACGACGGGUAGCUGGUCUGAGAGGACGAUCAGCCACACUGGAACUGAGAUACGGUCCAGACUCCUACGGGAGGCAGCAGCAGGGAAUCUUGCGCAAUGGGCGAAAGCCUGACGCAGCGACGCCGCGUGGGGGAUGAAGGCCUUAGGGUUGUAAACCCCUUUCACGAGGGAAGAAGAUGACGGUACCUCGAGAAGAAGCCCCGGCCAACUACGUGCCAGCAGCCGCGGUAAGACGUGGGGGGCGAGCGUUGUCCGGAUUUAUUGGGCGUAAAGAGCUCGUAGGCGGUUCAGUUAGUCGGGUGUGAAAACUCUGGGCUCAACCCAGAGACGCCACUCGAUACUGCUGUGACUAGAGUGCGGUAGGGGAGCGGGGAAUUCCUAGUGUAGCGGUGAAAUGCGCAGAUAUUAGGAGGAACACCAGUGGCGAAGGCGCCGCUCUGGGCCGUAACUGACGCUGAGGAGCGAAAGCGUGGGUAGCAAACAGGAUUAGAUACCCUGGUAGUCCACGCCGUAAACGUUGGGCACUAGGUGUGGGUCUCAACCAACGAGAUCCGCGCCGUCGCUAACGCAUUAAGUGCCCCGCCUGGGGAGUACGG
rnacentral:rRNA from 1 species